AUUGAACGCUGGCGGCAGGCCUAACACAUGCAAGUCGAACGAGUGGCGGACGGGUGAGUAAUGUCUGGGACACUGCCUGAUGGAGGGGGAUAACUACUGGACACGGUAGCUAAUACCGCAUACCAUCGGAUGUGCCCAGAUGGGAUUAGCUAGUAGGUGGGGUAACGGCUCACCUGGGCCACGAUCCCUAGCUGGUCUGAGAGGAUGACGAGCCACACUGGAACUGAGACACGGACCAGACUCCUACGGAGGGCAGCAGUGGGGAAUAUGGCACAAUGGGCGCAAGCCGGAUGCAGCCAUGCCGCGUGUAUGAAGAAGGCCUUCGGGUUGUAAAGUACUUUCAGCGGGGAGGCGUUACCCGCAGAAGAAGCACCGGCUAACUCCGUGCCAGCAGCCGCGGUAAUAC
rnacentral:rRNA from 1 species